rnacentral:misc_RNA from 1 species
UUUCCGUAGGUGAACCUGCGGAAGGAUCAUUAUUGUAUAACCGAGGUGCGAGGGCUGUCGCUGACCCGAAAGGACGUGCACGCCCGAGUGCCCUCACACACAUCCAUCUUACCCCUAUGUGCACCACCGCGUGGGUCCCCCUUUGGCUUGUUCGGAGGGGGGCUUACGUUUUCACACAAACUUUGUAUGCAGUGUAGAAUGUAUUUUUUGUUUUUGCGAUCACGCAAUCAAUACAACUUUCAACAACGGAUCUCUUGGCUCUC